GAAAAUGAUAUUGUAGAGCAUUUCAUAUAUAAAAUUAACCCCAAUUCACCUAAAACAUCCAUUUUAUUCAUUUAUUAUUUUUUUGAAAACGUCAACCCCUAAUACAACUAUAUAUCAAUAGCGGAAGUAGCAAGAAAUAUCAAACAUGUACAUUUUUUUUUUGUAAAAAGGCUUUCAAUUAAAAAACAAAGUACAAGAUGUGAUUUGUUGUCAAACAUGUACAUUCAAAAGACCAAAACAACGAUCAAAAUGAGUAACAAGAAAGGCCAAGUUUAUUCAGAUCACAAACAGUACAAUACACAUAUAAAUAUGAUAAUAUAAAGCUGCUUCCCGUAACUAAUAUGUCGAAUGCAUGGAACAACCGAUAUUGUCCGGGAACGGAGGCGGCGGAAGUCAG
rnacentral:lncRNA from 1 species